rnacentral:ncRNA from 1 species
UUAGUAAUUAUAAUAUAAAUUCGUAUAACUCUAACGAUAUGGGUUAGGGGUUUCUACCAGGAACCAUUAAUUCCUGAUUACGAAGAAGGUACAUUUUGGU